AUGGAGUCGCAACUGUUGGAAUUUACCUACGUGGAACAUCUUCACCUGCAGGUGGGGGGCUCAGGGGUGGGGCAGGCCCUCUCUCAGAGGUUUUUGUAUGAGGCUGUGUCACAGUGUCGGGUAUUCGGCGGAGGGACCCAUCUGACCGUCCUCGGUCAGCCCAAGGCCGCACCCUCGGUCGCUCUGUUCCCGCCCUCCACUGACGAGCUCAGCAACGACAAGGCCACGCUGGUGUGCCUCAUCAGUGACUUCUACCCCGGCGUCGUGACGGUGGCCUGGAAGAAAAAUGGCAGCCCCGUCACCCAGGGCGUGGAGACCACCAAGCCCUCCAAACAGAGCAACAACAAGUACGCGGCCAGCAGCUACCUGAGCGUGUCGCCCAGCACGUGGAAGUCAGCCAGCAGCUACAGCUGCCACGUCACGCACGAAGGCAGCACCGUGGAGAAGUCCGUGACCCCCUCGGAGUGUUCCUAGGACCUGAGCCCCAUGUUCGGGGCCGCUCUCCCACAAGAUCCCCCACUCCCCGGCUCCCCACCGUGGCCCUGGGACUCCUGCCCAGGGCUGCUGAGGCGGGGCAGGUCUCCCCGACUCCCCGCUUCCCAUCGUCCUCAAUAAAGUCUUGAUCAUGUA